rnacentral:rRNA from 1 species
GAUCUGUCUGGUUAAUUCCGAUAACGAACGAGACUCUCCUCUGCUAAGCUGGAUCUUGAAUUGCUGAGUUGCUCAUUGCCUCGUUCGCGCGUGUCUGCGCUCCCGUGUUUUGCGGCUGUCCUUGCUCUUGCCUUCACGGGCGGGGUCUGGGCGGUGUCUUGCGGGCGCGGGUCAGUGUGGUGCGUUGCGGGCGGGUGUCUUUGGCACUCCAAGUCCGUCGGCUCACGCCCGCUGUUGCGGGUUGUGUGGUACAAGUUCUUCUUAGAGAGAUUGACGGCUCUGAAGCCGUACGAGAAUGAGAGCAAUAACAGGUCUGUGAUGCCCUCAGAUGCCCUGGGCCGCACGCGCGCUACAAUGCGGACACAGCAGGUCUAGCCUGCUCCGAGAGGAGCGGGUAACCCUGUCAAAGUCCUGGGCGUGCUUGGGCCUGGGGCUUGCAAUUCUUUCCCACAAACAAGGAAUGCCUUGUAGUGGCGAGUCACUGAGCUCGCUGUGACUCAGUCCCUGCCCUUUGUACACACCGCCCGUCGCUACUACCGAUUGGGUGUACCAGUGAGAACCUUGGACUGGCGUCCGGUGCUCGCGCACCUGGGUCUGACGGAAAGAGGUUCGAACUGGUGCACUUAGAGGAAGUAAAAGUCGUAACA